UACGUAGGGUCCGAGCGUUGUCCGGAAUUACUGGGCGUAAAGAGCUCGUAGGUGGUUUGUCGCGUUGUUCGUGAAAACUCACAGCUUAACUGUGGGCGUGCGGGCGAUACGGGCAGACUGGAGUACUGCAGGGGAGACUGGAAUUCCUGGUGUAGCGGUGGAAUGACGCAGAUAUCAGGAGGAACACCGGUGGCGAAGGCGGGGUCUCUGGGCCGUAACUGACG
rnacentral:rRNA from 1 species